AGAGUUUGAUCCUGGCUCAGGAUGAACGUUGGCGGUGCGUCUAAUACAUGCAAGUCGAGCGUGAUUUUACGGAUUUAUUCGUGAAUGAAAGCGGCGGACGAGCGAGUAAUACACAAGUAUCUACCCCAUACUCAGGGAUAAUCCCCCGAAAGGGGGACUAAUACCGGAUAUUCCCGCAAGGGGAAAGCUUCGGCGGUAAGGGAGGAGCUUGUGGCCUAUCAGCUAGUUGGUGAGGUAAAUGCUUACCAAGGCUAUGACGGGUACCUGGUGUGAGAGCAUGACCAGGCGCGAUGGGACUGAGAUACGGCCCAUACUCCUACGGGAGGCAGCAGUAGAGAAUCUUCCGCAAUGGGCGAAAGCCUGACGGAGCGACACCGCGUGAAGGAUGAAGGCUCUCGGGUUGUAAACUUCUUUUCUGAGGGAAGAAAAUUG
rnacentral:rRNA from 1 species